AUUGAACGCUGGCGGCAGGCCUAACACAUGCAAGUCGAGCGAGCGGCGGACGGGUGAGUACUGUCUGGGAAACUGCCUGUUGGGGGGGGAUAACUACUGGAAACGGUAGCUAAUACCGCAUCCCAUCAGAUCUGCCCAGGUGGGAUUAGCUAGUAGGGGGGGUAAUGGCACACCAAGGCGACGAUCCCUAGCUGGUCUGAGAGGAUGACCAGCCACACUGGAACUGAGACACGGUCCAGACUCCUACGGGAGGCAGCAGUGGGGAAUAUUGCACAAUGGGCGAAAGCCUGAUGCAGCCAUGCCGCGUGUGUGAAGAAGGCCUUCGGGUUGUAAAGCACUUUCAGCGGGGAGGCGUUACCCGCAGAAGAAGCACCGGCUAACUCCGUGCCAGCAGCCGCGGUAAUUC
rnacentral:rRNA from 1 species